rnacentral:misc_RNA from 1 species
GAAGUGAAGACAAGUCCCAUCGGUUUCAAUGUCUUUACCUUUUAUCCUCGCAUGGAUUUUUAUGCAUGGAAUUCAUCAAAGGUAGAAAAUACAGUAGCCAGGGAAUGCCCAGCUAGCCACUAAUUGGGUAGGUAAAGGUUUAAUGUGAAAGGGCAUAAGAAAGGUUCAUAGGUAUGAGAGCUUGCCUAGUACAAACCGUUUAUUUCGCCGACAAUUAUGUACGAUUGCAUUAGCUUUACCCUUCCAUUCCUCCUCCCCUCUCUAUAUCUUCUUCUCUGAAUCUCUUUAUGUACUUCACUCUUCUCUCUGCAUUUCUGUACUUUCCUCAGUCCCAGCUAAAUCAUUCUUUCUUUCUCUCUCUCCCACCAACAUGGUGCAAUCAAAGAAGUUCAGAGGAGUCAGGCAGCGUCAUUGGGGUUCUUGGGUAUCUGAAAUUCGACACCCUUUACUGAAAAGGAGAAUCUGGCUAGGCACAUUUGAAACGGCAGAAGAGGCAGCUCGAGCUUAUGAUCAAGCUGCAAUCUUGAUGAGUGGCCGCAACGCUAAAACAAAUUUUCCAAUAUCUCAAACCCCAAACGGAGACCCAAAAUCCUCUGAACAUUCCCCAACUAGUACUAAUGCUGCUGCUCCACCCAAUGGUCUAUCUGCAAUCCUGCACGCCAAGCUUCGAAAGUGCAGCAAAGCACCAUCUCCGUCCAUGACGUGUUUGAGGCUUGAUACUGAGAACUCCCACAUUGGGGUGUGGCAAAAGCGCGCUGGACAGCGCUCUGAUUCCAACUGGGUCAUGACCGUGCAGCUUGGGAAGAGAGACAACCAAGUUUCUGAUGGUACAUUGCCAUUGGCAGAGUCAUCUGGGACGCUACCGGGUCCGGAGUUGAGAACGGAAAUGGAUGAAGAAGAGAGAAUUGCACUGCAAAUGAUCGAAGAGCUUCUCAACAGGAACUGUCCAAGCCCACCAUUGGGUGAUCAAGAUGGUGAUGAUGAUGGUAGCUUCUAGCUUUGAAUUUCUUGUGGGUUUGGUUUCUUAAUUUCAAGGGAGCAAUGUGUUUGUAUAGGUUGCAUGACACUUCCUAUUAGCUGUUGAGUUGCAGGGUCUUAGUUUGUGCACCCAAAGGGAAGAAAAAACCAUUAAAAAAAAAAAAGAAAUUGUGAAUUUCUACUUUAUUUGUAAUAUUCUGUAUUAUACAUCCAUAAAUAGAAUGGGUGGAGAGGAAAAUUGAUAGUGAAGAGAAAUUAAAACCUUCUGCAUGCUCUCCAAGAAGGCUUUACCAAUUAAUUAUAAUCUUCGUUGCUGAUCAUAAAUAAUAAUUAAUGGAAUUAUUUGUGAUUUCUGUUUACUUUAUAUGUUAAUUAGUUGUUUAAUAUAUAUACA